rnacentral:tRNA from 1 species
UCCUUGGAGGACUAGUGGUUAGGCCACAGGGCUCUCACUGCUGUGGCCUGGGUUUGAUUCCUAGCCAGGGAA